GCCUGGCUGGCUCAGUCAGUAGAGCAUGAGACUCUUAAUCUUGGGGUCAUGAGUUCAAGCCUCAUGUUGGGCG